GCCUCCUUAGCUCAGCUGGCAGAGCAACUGACUCUUAAUCAGUGGGUCAACGGUUCAAUCCCGUUAGGGGGUACCA
rnacentral:tRNA from 1 species